GGGCCCGCACAAGCGGUGGAGCAUGUGGUUUAAUUCGAUGCAACGCGAAGAACCUUACCUGCCCUUGACAUUCUCAGAAUCUUCUGUAAUGAGAAGAGUGCCUUCGGGAACUGAGUAACAGGUGCUGCAUGGCUGUCGUCAGCUCGUGUCGUGAGAUGUUGGGUUAAGUCCCGUAACGAGCGCAACCCCUAUCCUUAGUUGCCAGCGAUUUGGUCGGGAACUCUAAGGAAACUGCGGUGAUAAACCGGAGGAAGGUGGGGAUGAUGUCAAGUCAUCAUGGCCUUACGGGCAGGGCUACACACAUGCUACAAUGGGUAGUACAGAGAGUCGCUAACGCCGCGAGGUGGAG
rnacentral:rRNA from 1 species